rnacentral:rRNA from 1 species
AGUGAACGCUGGCGGUAGGCCUAACACAUGCAAGUCGAACGGCAGCACAGUAAGAGCUUGCUCUUACGGGUGGCGAGUGGCGGACGGGUGAGGAAUACAUCGGAAUCUACUUUUUCGUGGGGGAUAACGUAGGGAAACUUACGCUAAUACCGCAUACGACCUACGGGUGAAAGCAGGGGAUCUUCGGACCUUGCGCGAUUGAAUGAGCCGAUGUCGGAUUAGCUAGUUGGCGGGGUAAAGGCCCACCAAGGCGACGAUCCGUAGCUGGUCUGAGAGGAUGAUCAGCCACACUGGAACUGAGACACGGUCCAGACUCCUACGGGAGGCAGCAGUGGGGAAUAUUGGACAAUGGGCGCAAGCCUGAUCCAGCCAUACCGCGUGGGUGAAGAAGGCCUUCGGGUUGUAAAGCCCUUUUGUUGGGAAAGAAAAGCAGCAGGUUAAUACCCCGCUGUUCUGACGGUACCCAAAGAAUAAGCACCGGCUAGCUUCGU